rnacentral:rRNA from 1 species
AGUGAACGCUGGCGGUAGGCCUAACACAUGCAAGUCGAACGGCAGCACAGGAGAGCUUGCUCUCUGGGUGGCGAGUGGCGGACGGGUGAGGAAUACAUCGGAAUCUGCCCAGUCGUGGGGGAUAACGUGGGGAAACUUACGCUAAUACCGCAUACGACCUUCGGGUGAAAGAGGGGGAUCGCAAGACCUCUCGCGAUUGGAUGAGCCGAUGUCGGAUUAGCUAGUUGGCGGGGUAAUGGCCCACCAAGGCGACGAUCCGUAGCUGGUCUGAGAGGAUGAUCAGCCACACUGGAACUGAGACACGGUCCAGACUCCUACGGGAGGCAGCAGUGGGGAAUAUUGGACAAUGGGCGCAAGCCUGAUCCAGCCAUACCGCGUGGGUGAAGAAGGCCUUCGGGUUGUAAAGCCCUUUUGUUGGGAAAGAAAUCUUUCAGGCUAAUACCCUGGGAGGAUGACGGUACCCAAAGAAUAAGCACCGGCUAACUUCGUG